rnacentral:rRNA from 1 species
GUAGGGGCCAAACGUUUGUCCGGAUUUAUUGGGCGUAAAGGGCUCGUAGGCGGUUCAACAAGUCGGUCGUGAAAACCCGGGGCUCAACCCCGGGACGCCGGUCGAAACUGUUGUGACUAGGGUCCGGUAGAGGUGAGUGGAAUUCUCGGUGUAGCGGUGGAAUGCGCAGAUAUCGAGAGGAACACCAGUUGCGAAGGCGGCUCACUGGGCCGGUACCGACGCUAAGGAGCGAAAGCAUGGGGAGCAAACAGGAUUAGAUACCCUGGUAGUCCAUGCCGUAAACUGUGAACACUAGGUGUGGCGGAUCUAUUGAUGUCUGCCGUACCGUAGCUAACCGCGUUAAGUGUUCCGCCUGGGGAGUACGGCCGCAAGGCUA